GCGGACGUGGCGGAAUUGGUAGACGCACCAGAUUUAGGUUCUGGCGCCGUAAGGUGUGAGAGUUCAAGUCUCUCCGUCCGCACCA
rnacentral:tRNA from 14 species